UACGUAGGGUGCGAGCGUUGUCCGGAAUUAUUGGGCGUAAAGAGCUUGUAGGCGGUUUGUCGCGUCUGCUGUGAAAUUUCGGGGCUCAACCCCGAACUUGCAGUGGGUACGGGCAGACUAGAGUGUGGUAGGGGAGACUGGAAUUCCUGGUGUAGCGGUGAAAUGCGCAGAUAUCAGGAGGAACACCGAUGGCGAAGGCAGGUCUCUGGGCCACUACUGACGCUGAGAAGCGAAAGCGUGAGGAGCAAACAGG
rnacentral:rRNA from 1 species